UUGAUCCUGGCUCAGAAUCAACGCUGGCGGCGUGCCUAACACAUGCAAGUCGAACGAGAAAGUGGAGCAAUCCAUGAGUAAAGUGGCGACCGGGUGAGUUACACGUGACUAACCUACCCUAAAGUGGGGAAUAACCUCGGGAAACCGGGUCUAAUACCGCAUAACAUUGCGCGGCUGAAAGGCCAUGCAUUCAAAGGAGUAAUUCGCUUUAGGAGGGGGUCGCGGUUGAUUAGCUAGUUGGUGAGGUAAUGGCUCACCAAGGCGAUGAUCAAUAGCCGGCCUGAGAGGGCGCACGGCCAUACUGGAACUGAAACACGGUCCAGACUCCUACGGGAGGCAGCAGUGGGGAUUUUUGCGCAAUGGGGGAAACCCUGACGCAGCAACGCCGCGUGGAGGAUGUAGUCCCUUGGGAUGUAAACUCCUUUCGACCGGGACGAUUAUGACGGUACUGGGAGAAGAAGCCCCGGCUAACUUCGUGCCAGCAGCCGCGGUAAUAAGGU
rnacentral:rRNA from 1 species